GACGAACGCUGGCGGCGUGCUUAACACAUGCAAGUCGAACGGAAAGGCCCUGCUUUUGUGGGGUGCUCGAGUGGCGAACGGGUGAGUAACACGUGAGUAACCUGCCCUUGACUUUGGGAUAACUUCAGGAAACUGGGGCUAAUACCGGAUAGGAGCUCCUGCUGCAUGGUGUGGGUUGGAAAGUUUCGGCGGUUGGGGAUGGGCUCGCGGCUUAUCAGCUUGUUGGUGGGGUAGUGGCUUACCAAGGCUUUGACGGGUAGCCGGCCUGAGAGGGUGACCGGCCACAUUGGGACUGAGAUACGGCCCAGACUCCUACGGGAGGCAGCAGUGGGGAAUAUUGCACAAUGGGCGGAAGCCUGAUGCAGCAACGCCGCGUGCGGGAUGACGGCCUUCGGGUUGUAAACCGCUUUCGCCUGGGACGAAGCGUGAGUGACGGUAAUGGGUAAAGAAGCACCGGCUAACUACGUG
rnacentral:rRNA from 1 species